AAAAAAUCUACUCGAAGCAUCAAGUGGAUGCCUUGGUCUUUUUGGCCGAAGAAGGACGUAAUUGGCUGCGAUAAGCUCGGGGCAGGUGCCAAUAACCGCUCAUCCCGAGAUUUCCGAAUGGGGCAACCCCUCCUUUUAGGAGACCUCUACGCUGAAUACAUAGGCUAGAGGAGGUAAGCGCCCGAACUGAAACAUCUCAGUAAGGCGAGGAAAAGAAAACGAUAAUGAUUCCGUAAGUAGCGGUGAGCGAAAGCGGAGAAGCCCAAACCUUUUAAGUAAUUAAAAGGGGUUGUAGGGCCUUUCUUACUUUAAUGUGAAAAGAGUCUAAAAAUUUCGACGGUAGCAGAACAAGCCGGAAUGCUUGGCCAUAGACAGUGAUAGCCUGGUAAGCGAAACCUUCGAAACUCUUGAAAGGUUCCUGAGUACCGCGGAGCACGUGGAAUUCUGCGGGAAUCUACCGGGACCAUCCGGUAAGGCUAAAUACCAAAAAGGACCGAUAGUGAACAAGUACCGUGAGGGAAAGGUGAAAAAUACCCCGGUGAGGGGAGUGAAAUAGUUUCUGAAACUUGAUGCUAGCAAGCAGUCGGAGCCUUGAUUUAUCAGGGUGACGGCGUGCCUCUUGAAGAAUGAGCCUGCGAGUUGUCUGUAUCCGCAUAGUUUAACCUCGUUAAUGAGGGUAGGCGUAGUGAAAGCGAGCCCUAACUGGGCGUUUAGCGGAGGCAGUCAGACCCGAAACCAGGUGAGCUAACCAUGUCCAGGGUGAACCAGUUGUAAAAGACUGGGGAGGCCCGCACCCGUAUACGUUGCAAAGUGUUGGGAUGAGGUGUGGUUAGAGGUGAUAUGCCAAUCGAACCUGGAGAUAGCUGGUUCUCCCCGAAAUGCAUUUAGGUGCAGCGGUAAAUUUUAAGUUCUGGGGGUAGAGCGACUGAAUGGAAUUGUGCGGGGCAACCCGUGCGUUCUAACCAAACUCCGAAUACCAGAAUGUAUAAUUUGCCAGUGAGUCUGCGCGGGCUAAGCCGCGUGGUCAAAAGGGAAACAACCCAGAUCGCUAGUUAAGGUCCCUAAGUUCAAGCUCAGUGUUAAACGUAGUGUACUUCCUUAGACAGACAGGAGGUUGGCUCAGAGGCAGCCAUCCUUUAAAGAGUGCGUAACAGCUCACUGUUAGAUUUGGGAAGUAUGCGCGAACAAUGUAACGGGGCUCAAGCUUGACACCGAAACUACGACUUCGCAUUUAUGCGAGGGGUAGGGGAGCGUUCUGUAUGCCUUGAAGGUGAACUGUAAGGUUUGCUGGAGCGUACAGAAGUGAGAAUGCAGGCAUGAGUAGCGUAAUUCGGGUGAAAACCCCGAACACCGAAAGUCCAAGGUUUCCUGGGCAACGUCAAUCGUCCCAGGGUUAGUCGGUCCUAAGUCGAGGCCUCAAGUGGCGUAGGCGAUGGACAAGCCGUCUGAAAUUCGGCUACAGGAUUGUUUCGAUCAAGACACAAAGGGUUAACGAGAGUGGAGAAUUCUAGCACCGCUACGCAAUGGUGUUUAAGCAGUAAGGAAGUGGCAGUUGGCAAAUCCGCUGUUAUGUUUAUUCAAGCUGCGAUGAAUCUUGUAAAACGAAAGUGGCACAGGAUUAGAUAAGCUUCAGUCUUCAGGAAAAUGCUCGUUGUGGAGAACAAUCUUACCGUACCGCAAACCGACACAGGUGGACUGGUCGAGUAGACCAAGGUGAACGAGAUAACCAUCUUUAAGGAACUCGGCAAAAAAGCUCGAUGUAUCUUCGGAAGAUAUCGUCCCUAGCCAUGCCGCUAGGGCGCAGCGAAAGACUCUCAAGCGACUGUUUAACAAAAACACAGGGCUAUGCAAACCUGAAAAGGGAAGUAUAUGGCCUGACGCCUGACCAGUGCCGAAAGGUUAAGGAAGCCUCUUCACGGGGGUGACCGAAGCCACGGUAAACGUCCGCAGUAACUAUAACUGUGCUAAGGUAGCGAAAUUCCUUGUCGGGUAAGUUCCGACCUGCACGAAAGGCUGAACGACUUGAGAACUGUCUUGAAGGUGGACUCGGCGAAAUUGAGAUGGCUGUGAAGACGCGGCCUAGAUAUGCCAGGACAAAAAGACCCCGUGGAGCUUUACUACAGUUUGGCCCUGCAUUAGGUUUGAAGAUGUGUAGCGUAAGAGGGAGCUUCGGCGCCAAUGAAACACCUCUCUUCUUCAAAUUUGAUGCUAAGAUUGACCCGUGAAACCGGGCAAUUGACAAGGUCUGAUGGGUAGUUUGACUGGGGCGGUCGCCCGCUAAAAAGUAACGCAGGCGCCCAAAGGUUAGCUUAGCGCGAAUGGAAACCGCGCUAGACGUGCAAAAGCUAAAGCUAGCUUGACUGCGAGACCUACAAGUCGAGCAGGUGCGAAAGCAGGGUUUAGUGAUCCUCCGUGUCCCGAAUGGAAGGGCCGGAGCUUAACGGAUAAAAGCUACCCCGGGGAUAACAGGCUUAUGGUGUCCAAGAGUUCACAUCGACGACACCGUUUGGCACCUCGAUGUCGGCUCGUCUUAUCCUGGGUGGGUAGUACCACCCAAGGGUUGGGCUGUUCGCCCAUUAAAAAGGUACGCGAGCUGGGUUCAGAACGUCGUGAGACAGUUCGGUCUCUAUCCGGCAUAUCCGCAUGAGUUUUGAGUGGGGCUACUCCUAGUACGAGAGGACCGGAGUGGAACAGCCUCUAGUGUAUCGGUUGUCCAAGCUUGGGCAGUGCCGAGUAGCUACGCUGUGUUCGGAUAAGCGCUGAAAGCAUCUAAGUGCGAAGCCGGCCACAAGAUUAGAACUCAAUGGAGCCUCGUGCUCCGAAAGGAUCGUGGAAGACUACCACGUUGAUAGGCGGUAAGUGUAAGACUGGUAACAGUUUCAGCUAAACCGUACUAAUUAUCCAAUCUGAUUUUUUCU
rnacentral:rRNA from 1 species